GCGGCCUCAAGUAUAGAGACUUGUUCAAUGUCCUCGGAUCAUCAACAGCUUUAAUUGUGUAUGUACCAAUGUCUUUCUCAUCAACAAAUAUUGCUUUAAUGUUUCCAUCGCCAAGGAUGACAAUCUUGUCCUUAGGAGGACCCAUGGCGUCUGCCUGCACCAAAGUCGGGAGAGAAUAGCCUGCAAAGUAGUUUGAAGAGACAUAGGUGUAAGGGAUGCCGGAAGCUUCAAUAAUUCGCCGGAUUGAGACCUUCACUGCAAAUACGGACUUGGCCGGUUCCACAGUAUGUGAUCGAUCCACGUCGAUGCCGAACUCCGACGGGAAAAAGCGCUUGACAUUUCCGGCUUCUUUGAUGGCCUCGAUGAUCUUGGUCUGAUCCCCGAGCUGUAAACCUCCAACAGUAGAGAUAACCACAUCAACCUGCUUGAUCGCCUUCACUAAGC
rnacentral:misc_RNA from 1 species